CCACUGGGGCAUACUUAGUACGGCGAGUGAAGCGGUAAAAGCUCAAAUUUGAAAUCUGGUACUUUCAGUGCCCGAGUUGUAAUUUGUAGAAUUUGUCUUUGAUUAGGUCCUUGUCUAUGUUCCUUGGAACAGGACGUCAUAGAGGGUGAGAAUCCCGUUUGGCGAGGAUACCUUUUCUCUGUAAGACUUUUUCGAAGAGUCGAGUUGUUUGGGAAUGCAGCUCAAAGUGGGUGGUAAAUUCCAUCUAAAGCUAAAUAUUGGCGAGAGACCGAUAGCGAACAAGUACAGUGAUGGAAAGAUGAAAAGAACUUUGAAAAGAGAGUGAAAAAGUACGUGAAAUUGUUGAAAGGGAAGGGCAUUUGAUCAGACAUGGUGUUUUUUGCAUGCACUCGCCUCUCGUGGGCUUGGGCCUCUCAAAAAUUUCACUGGGCCAACAUCAAUUCUGGCAGCAGGAUAAAUCAUUAAGAAUGUAGCUACUUCGGUAGUGUUAUAGCUUUUUGGAAUACUGUUAGCCGGGAUUGAGGACUGCGCUUCGGCAAGGAUGUUGGCAUAAUGGUUAAAUGCCGCCCGUCUUGACCCCCCGGAACCA
rnacentral:rRNA from 1 species